UCACUGAACCCUAGCAGCCGCACACCCCCAAUCUCUCAUCUGCCCACACUCACCACUCUAACGUGCUUCACUCUCUGGCCCACUCCUUCUAAUUUUUUUUGUCUGCUCUUCCUCUUCCCUUCCCCAUUCCUCUCCUCUCCAACAGAUCUGUAAAAACACAAAAAGCUGGAAGUCGUGGAACCAGGUUGGGAAGAAAAAAAAAAUGGCACUUACGGAAGUCGACAUCAAUACCGGAAGUCGACUUCCGUAGUUAGUAAAUAUUGAUUUCCGUAAGAGCAGUUCCACUUCCGUAGGCCAGUGCAACUUCCGUAGGGGAGUUCGACGUUCGACUUCCGUAGGCGAGUUCGACAUUCGACUUCCGUAGGCGAGUUCGACGUUCAACUUCCGUAGGCGAGUUCGACUUCCGUAGGCGAGUUCCACUUCCGUAAGGUGUACCUCUUUUUCUGAGAAGAAAUGAAGCAGAUGGAAUUUCACACCUCAACCACGAAAUUUUUUGCAGUGACCACGAAAUUUUUUGCAGUGAAACUGAAAGUGAAACUGAAGAGGGGUGCAGGGUAUAUAAAAGACUGGCCGGGCAUAAAUGGAAGAGCAUGAAUAUUUGGAGGUGCAGAAGAAAUAUUGGGGGUGCAGGAAGAAACCCCCAAAAAAGAAAAAGCUAUUUUUUGCGGGCUUAUACAUGUGCCGAGUUUUCAAAGGCCCAUUUGCAUAAUCAAUGUAAUUAACAAGUGGGUAAAUGAGGAAGAUACUUUUAUUUGAUGCAAAUUCUCUUUUAUUUUG